AUCAAGCAGCGGAGAAACGUAUCGACAAUUUCAUCACUAAUUUGUCUUCAAUCAAAGUAUCAAGCAAUGCAUGGGGUUGUCUUGAUUAAACUCAUGCUUCUCGAAGUGAGUUUACUACAUCGAAAAUAGGAAAGAAUAGAGAAAUUAUUGCUAAAAUUAUAGCUAGAGUUGGAAGUGAUUGAGCGGGAGGUGGUCUGAAAUUGUAGUGGGAAUUGUCUCUGCCUUUUGUGAACAUCAUCGGAAACAAAGCAAGGAGGAGAAGAAAGAACAAAAGGAAUGAUCUUGAAAUUGGAGUGAGAAGAACGAAGCUGAAAUUGGAGUAGUAGGGCUUUUCUAGUGGAGCCAAAGACAAGAAAAAAAAAAAAGAAGAAAAAAUUAAAAGGUCUUGAAGUCUAAGUUUGGCCCCAGUAACUAGGAGAUUGGACUCCUAAUUUUAAGUUCAAUCAUCAGGCCAAAAGCCCGUCAGCCCACACUCACCUCUACAUCCACGGCUUCACCCCCACUUCCACUUCCAUUUUCACCUCCACCUCCACCUCUACCACACUCUCGAUCUCUUCGACAAUUGAAGACCAGUGAAGUACCGUGGCUCUUGGGCAUUGAAGACCAAGUAAUUCUCCAAGUCUCUGCGGGCCGAUGUUGAGUCAGAUCUUAGUGGCUUAGUGAAAAAACGAGACCUGCAGCGCCCAGCAUCUUCCUCCGAUAGGAGAAUGAGUCUAAAGGAUGACUCUUCCCGAGUCAUCGCCGGCAGGAGACUUUGUUGAGCCCUGAUCAGUACACGCUUUUAUUUAAGUCAAUGUCCUGGGAACAGAAGACCUGUGAAUGUCACUGAACGGAAAGUCUUAGGGCAGUAAUCAGGGAAUCAACAAACCCAAGAACCAAAUCGGCUAAGCUAAGGCCUAAGGCCAAUUGCCUUCCCUGGACUGAUUGGCUUCGGUCAAAAGACGAUUUUGUUGAAUGAGAUUCGGACUCUUUAUCCAAAGGACUUGCUGCUUCUCAACGAUUUUUUGUACAAAAUCAGCUACGGCUGGACUUGGUAGGGGGAGAAUGAGUGAAACUGAUUCAGAAGCCUUCCAAGCAGCAGUCUUUUCAAGGAUUGGUGAUCUGGUCAAAUUAGACAGGUAAUUUUGUGCAAACUCUGAUGGUAAUUUCUCAGUUACACUCUCACCCAGAGAGCCUUUUUCUUUAUUUGAAUACACUUGUUGAAGUUCACACAACUGGAAAUCUCAAAUUUUCUUGCUUAAGAAAAUAUGGUAGUUUACAUUUUUCGAGUGGAAGGAUGGCAAAGCAUUAGUCAGAUAGAAUUAAGACGUUCCUUGAAGAAUUGAAUGAUUUCCCAAAAUUGCUCCGCAGUAAGCCAAUUCAGCUGAUAGAUGAAGUGACAGAACACUAUCUUGAGAGUAUUCUACCUUUGGGCAUAAAAUAAGAUAUGGUGAAGAGGACAGGGUGCUUGUUUUUCUUUCUUGAAAAAUAAAUGUUCCUGAUAAAUCAAUAGCCUAUCUGAUGCCACUGGCUAUGAGAUCUGAAGCAAUACUGAAUUCUUGAAGCUAGGAGGAAGUGUUAAAGAUAGAGUGGCAAUGAAGAUUAUCGAAUAGUACCACUCCAUGUAUUCAUCCUCUAGUGGUUUGGAGAAAUGGGUUGUAAAGAUUGAGCAACCCAUAGACAUCUUUCUCACGAUACCCAUUGCAUCAGUUUCUCUUAUAUAAAUGAGAUAAAUGCUAUUUAAACAAAAUUUUGGGAGCUAUCUAUAGCAAUGACUGAAGGACGUUGAAGACAAAGUCAAUUUCUCAUGCAAGGGUCCGCUUGGAUGUUCUUUGGUUUCUUAAAAUUAAUUCCUUUUGUAAACGUACCUUAUGAAUAUGUGAUAUUUGGGCACAAUGUUACUUUUAUAGACCUUUGUUGGGUAAUGUGCACCUCAUUAUGACAUUUGAGUACUUAAUAUGCUAUAUUGGCAUGUAGCCUA